ACGAACGCUGGCGGCGUGCCUAAUACAUGCAAGUCGAGCGAUGAUUAAAGAUAGCUUGCUAUUUUUAUGAAGAGCGGCGAACGGGUGAGUAACGCGUGGGAAAUCUGCCGAGUAGCGGGGGACAACGUUUGGAAACGAACGCUAAUACCGCAUAACAAUGAGAAUCGCAUGAUUCUUAUUUAAAAGAAGCAAUUGCUUCACUACUUGAUGAUCCCGCGUUGUAUUAGCUAGUUGGUAGUGUAAAGGACUACCAAGGCGAUGAUACAUAGCCGACCUGAGAGGGUGAUCGGCCACACUGGGACUGAGACACGGCCCAGACUCCUACGGGAGGCAGCAGUAGGGAAUCUUCGGCAAUGGGGGCAACCCUGACCGAGCAACGCCGCGUGAGUGAAGAACGUUUUCGGAUCGUAAAACUCUGUUGUUAGAGAAGAACGUUAAGUAGAGUGGAAAAUUACUUAAGUGACGGUAUCUAACCAGAAAGGGACGGCUAACUACGUGCCAGCAGCCGCGGUAAUACGUAGGUCCCAAGCGUUGUCCGGAUUUAUUGGGCGUAAAGCGAGCGCAGGUGGUUUCUUAAGUCUGAUGUAAAAGGCAGUGGCUCAACCAUUGUGUGCAUUGGAAACUGGGAGACUUGAGUGCAGGAGAGGAGAGUGGAAUUCCAUGUGUAGCGGUGAAAUGCGUAGAUAUAUGGAGGAACACCGGAGGCGAAAGCGGCUCUC
rnacentral:rRNA from 1 species